rnacentral:rRNA from 1 species
UUUAUGGAGAGUUUGAUCCUGGCUCAGGAUGAACGCUGGCGGCGUGCCUAAUACAUGCAAGUCGAGCGAACGGACGAGAAGCUUGCUUCUCUGAUGUUAGCGGCGGACGGGUGAGUAACACGUGGAUAACCUACCUAUAAGACUGGGAUAACUUCGGGAAACCGGAGCUAAUACCGGAUAAUAUUUUGAACCGCAUGGUUCAAAAGUGAAAGACGGUCUUGCUGUCACUUAUAGAUGGAUCCGCGCUGCAUUAGCUAGUUGGUAAGGUAACGGCUUACCAAGGCAACGAUGCAUAGCCGACCUGAGAGGGUGAUCGGCCACACUGGA